rnacentral:misc_RNA from 1 species
GAAAACAUGGAGGGUCUAAGGCCAAAAGGCUGCACCACUGCCCAAACCAUCCAUAUUCCUCCACUGCAUACCCUUCAACUUCUCCCUAUCGUGCCCUUCAACCGUAUAUUUGCCUUAGUUUACUUGUGUGCCGUUCUAGCUUUAUUUUAUCACCAUUUACAAACACUCCUCUGCUCCACAACACUGGUCUCUUUCUUCAUAAACCUCAUCUUAUUUAUCUCCGAUCUUGUUCUUGCCUUCAUGUGGUCCGCAGCUCAGGCUUCUCGCCUAUACCCAAUCCAACGCAAAGAAUUCCCUGAAAACCUCGAUAAGGUUGUUAAAAGAAGUGAUUACCCAGCCGUUGAUGUGAUUAUAUGCACUGCGGAUCCGACAAGAGAACCACCCAUGAGCGUAGUGAACACUGCUUUAUCAGUGAUGGCUUACGAUUAUCCAACGAAGAAGCUUUCGGUGUAUGUAUCGGAUGAUGGAGGAUCUGCACUGACUCUUUUUGCUUUCAUGGAGGCUGCUAAGUUUGCUGCGCACUGGUUACCAUUUUGCAGAGAGAACAAUAUUGUGCAGAGGAACCCCGAAUCCUAUUUUGAAUCAAAUUAUUCUUCUUCCUCUGAGGCUGUCGAGAUUAUUAAGAUGAUGUACGAGAGUAUGAAAAUGAGAGUGGAGCAUGAUGUGGAGAAAGGAAAGAUAAGCGAUGAGUAUAUCACUGGCGAUGAAGAGCGCCAAGCUUUCAAUCGAUGGACACAUAACUUCACGAGCCAAGAUCAUCCUACUGUUAUUCAGGUUUUAUUGGCAAAUAACAGGAGCAAGGACGUUACCGGAAAUUUUAUGCCUAAUCUUAUUUAUGCUUCUAGAGAGAAAAGUAGCACUUCACAUCAUCACUUCAAGGCUGGCGCCUUGAAUGUUUUGCUACGAGUAUCAGCUGUGAUGACCAAUGCACCCAUAAUCUUGACACUAGACUGUGACAUGUAUUCCAAUGAUCCGCAGACACUUCUUCGAGUUUUGUGUUAUUAUUCGGAUCCUGAAAUUCGUUCCAAAUAUUCAUAUGUUCAAUUUCCUCAGCAUUUUCAUGGGAUCAACAAAAAUGACAUAUAUGCUUGUCAAUAUAAACGAUUGUUUGUAAUUCAACCUAUGGGGUUUGAUGGGCUAGGGGGUUCCAAUAAUGUUGGAACCAACUUAUUCUUCUCCAGGAGAGCAUUCUUUGGUAGCCCAUCCAAUUUUAUAUCACCAGAAAUUCCUGAGUUGAGCCCAGAUCAUUUGGUAGACAAGCCCAUACAGUCCCCAGAAGUCUUGGCAUUGGCUUGUCAUGUGGCAGGUUGCAAUUAUGAGAACCAGAGUGCCUGGGGCUACAAGAUGGGCUUUCGAUAUGGUUCGUUGGUUGAGGACUUUUUUACGGGUUAUCAACUACGUUGUGAGGGUUGGAGAUCCAUGUUUUGCAAUCCAGAUAGGCCAGCGUUUCUGGGGAAUGCUCCCAUAAGCUUGGUGGAUUCGUUGAAUCAACUGAAGCGGUGGGCUGUUGGUGUCUUUGAGGUGGGCUUCUCAAAAUACAGCCCAAUGAUAUAUGGCAUCAGGCGUUUGGGUCUUCUCAUGACCCUACUUUAUUCACAGUAUGCAUUCUGGCCUAUUUGGUCAAUUCCGAUAACCACGUACGCUUUUCUCCCCCAGCUAGCUCUCAUCAAUCGAGUUCGCGUCUUCCCAAAGGUCUCAGAACCAUGGUUUCUGCUGUAUCCAUUUCUUUUCCUGGGGGCCUAUUGGCAGGAUUAUUUCGACUUUGUCUCGGCUAAUGGAACAUUCCAAAUGUGGUGGAAUGAUCAAAGGAUUUGGACCAUAAGAGGACUCACAUGUUUAUGGUUUGGAUCACUUGAAUUCUUGCUCAAAUCCUUGGGCAUUUUGACACAUGGCUUCAGUUUGACCAGCAAAGUGGUUGAUGAUGAGCAAAGUAAAAGAUACGACCAAGGGAUCUUUGACUUUGGAGUUCCAUCGCCCAUGUUUGUGCCCCUAACAAUGGCAGCAUUGAUAAACUUGGUGUCAUUUAUUAUGGGGCUGGCACAAGUUGUCAAAAGCAGCAAUUUGGAGGGACUUCUAAUCCAAAUGUUCAUAGCAGGAUUUGGGGUUGUGAAUUGUUGGCCAAUAUAUGAAGCAAUGGUCUUCAGAAAGGAUAAAGGAAAAUUGCCUACCAAGAUCAUUCUCACUGCAGCAUUUCUGACUUGGGCUCUUUACAUUGCAGCUUCUUUCAUUUUUAAGUAACAAAGGUUUGCUAAUGUGAUUUGCAUAUUUCCUUUAUGAUUCUGCUUUGUGUUGCAUCAGAAAGACGAAUAAGAUGGUAAAAAGCAUACUGUCACUAGCUAAUAUAUCCUUUUUGAAAACGAAAUUAGUUCAAGUGCUUAUAUUUGUAAAAUCAAGACGUAUAUUAUCUGUGUUAAAAAAAAAAUCUUUAUUU